rnacentral:tRNA from 1 species
AAAAUCCGUUGAUUUUAAAAAUCGUGAGGGUUCAA